GGCGGCGGUGGUCGCUGGUCGGGAAGCAGCAGCCCUUUCUCGUUGCGAGAAGGAUGGGCGUGGCUGCUGUUUCUUUCUUUCUUUCUUUCUCUUUUUUUUUUUUUUGAGAUGAUGAGAGCUACGGUGAGGUAUUGUAAGAAAUUGCAACGAGAACGCUAAGGAUCGUUGCUCUAGUACCAAAUGAUAAGACCCUAGGGUUUUAUCAUUGAAGAAAAUGGAUAAAAGGGGAUGAUCACUUUAAGAGGAUCGACCUCCUAGGGUUUGUUAGAAGACUGGAAUAAUAUUUUAUUGGUUGCCGAAAAGAAACAGAUACAUCCCUAUUUAUAGAGUUCCACCCAGAGUCCACUAGGACUUGGACUCAAUAAAACAUUAUUCAAAGCUUAGAAAAUAAAUGGAUCAUAACAUAGAUUUAGCAAUAUAUAGGCCUGAUAUUAUGACCCUUAUCAGUGAUUUAGAAAGGUGCUCGGGCGCUCGCCUAGGUGCUCGGGCGAGGCGAGGAGAGGCCCGAGCGCCUCGCUUCACUUCCG
rnacentral:lncRNA from 1 species